rnacentral:tmRNA from 1 species
GGGGACGACAGGAUUCGACAGGUACGUUCCGGUGCGGAUUGCGGGCCGAGGCGCCAUCACCCUCGUAAAUCAGGUGGCAAAAAAGUAACUGGCGAACGACAACUCGCCCUCGCUGCGUAAACUAACGUAGCGACGUGGCUCGGGAUCUCCCCUCGAUGGGUCUCGGGCCGCGACGUAAUGUCGAGGUGCCGCGUCGACCUGCGUCUCAGGGUCGCGACGCGAAAGACCAACUGAGACUGGUCGGGCCAGCCUUGCCGUCACGGGAGGGGCGCCGAUGAGAACUACUCCCCUGGUGACUACGCUCGUAGACGUUCGUAUCAGCCGUGCUCUGGACGGGGAGUUCAAUUCUCCCCCGUCUCCACCA